CUCAGUUCAUACUGGCUCCAUUUCAAAUGCUUGAUGGCCACAUGUGGCUAGCGGCUGCCACGUUGGACAGAGCAGGAGUAGACGGGGCCUGGCGUGAAGGGAGUGCUCAGUAACUGCUGCUGUGUGGUCUCUUUGCUGCGUCCUCCCCAUAUGAAUUAACCAGCUCCAGCUGGCCAAGUGGCCAGCACACUCCCGAUGGAAUGGUACUUGUGUCAGUUUCCUAUUGCUGUGAAACAAGUUGCCCCAAACUUUGUGGCUUCAAACCGCACCCACUCGUCCUCUCCCAGUUCUGCAGGUCAGAAGUCCAUGUGGACUCAACCAGGUCAUCUGCUCCGGCUCUCGCAGACUGCAGCCCAGGUGUCGGCUGGGCCGUCUUCCCAUUUGGAGGUUGGACUGGGGAAGACCCUGCCUCCAAGCUCAGGAUUGGAUCCCAUUGUGGGGAGAGGAGCCCUGACCCACAGCAGGCAGUGCAGACUCACUCUCGGCACCGCUGGAGUUUAAGCAGACCCUGUGUUGAAGGACCACCUGGGCCUCUUGAAGAGCCUGGUGUCACUCACCUCUUCCCUGAAAUAAAUGUGGCUUCUGAACAGGAUCAAGUUCCGGCAAGAACCGACAAGUGCAUUUAUUUUUAUUUUUUUACUCUCAAAAAUGGUCUAAUCAGGAAGCCACUGAAAGGAGAGGACUUACAAUGUCUCCCAUGUACCUUCUCCAGCAUGACCCUUGCUGACUGCCUUUUGGCAGGAGCACACUGCCACCAGCUUGGGAUAAUGCUCCUCAGCUUCGGGCUCAUCAGUUUCAUGUGGUUCGACCCCCACUUUCCUGUGUCCCUGGCCACUUCUCCCGAGAUCUGGAAGCCCCCACUGGGUCAGAGCUGCCUGGAGCUUUGCAGUUUACAAGCCACUUUUGCCCACAUGACUUCAUGCGGCCAGGCUGCUUGCUCCCCUCCAGCUCACAUGGCCCAUUUCUGUGCUCUUCAUGUCUCAACUUAAAUGUCACCUCCUCAAGGCUGCCUGGCCACCCUUUCUGCCCCGAGGUCCCUUGCAUUUUCUCUUCUCUUUUUCCUCCUUUGGCCUUUACGGAUGAUACCUCCAGAGCGAGGAGACAGGCCAUCACAAAGCCUUUGGAUGACAUAAUUUUUAAAUUUCCUCCAGUCAAAACCAGAAGAGAGAAGUGGAAAACCUUGGGUGAAAACCAUAUCAUUCAACAACUUCUGAGUCCGUUCUGUUUCGGAGAGCUGGCUCCAUGUGAGGGAUAAGACGGUGGACGAGGCGCUGCCCAGCUGGACGGCCGGAGGAAGCCGUGAGACGGGAAAGCAGAACUGCCUUUCUGGAAACCCCCAGGUUCAUGGUCAGGGAGACCAGCCACCCACAAAAAACUUUUCUGAGUGACACAAUGCAUUCUUUUCUCCUGUCGCCGACCUGAGGUGAAGUUGCCCACAGAGGCUCCCUGCCCACCGUCCUCCUCAGGGGGCCCCCAUCUGUGUCCCACCCCGCUCAGGAGCCCGCCCAGCACAGCAUGCCAGUUCUGGUGCAGAAGGCCCUUCUCAGCGUGGCUCCCGUCCCCUUCCACCACCACCGUCCCCUGGCAUGCCCAACAUGCCUGAUUACACUUCUCCUUGUAUGCACGAGGCAGCACAGGUUCCAAGAAAUAAACCAGGCUUUCUACUCUCUCACGGGUCCCUGGCACGAUGUUUUCUCCUGCUUGGGUCUUUUCAUCUUCUACCAGUAAAAAGCCUUUCUCAGCCUUGGAGGCCUAUUUCAAAUGCUGCUUCCUCCGCGAAGUCUUUCCUGAUUGUUCCAGUUGAGGGUGAACUCAAUGCAGGGGGUGAGCCCCACUUCCUUCACAUCAGAGAACCCGGGUUUCUCCUUCUCCUCCGUUUCCUGCUUGGUGGACUCUGUGCCUCACUGCGUCUUAGUUUCUGCGUGUGUGCAGUGGGGGUGCUGGUACUUAGCUUGUCCACCUGCCAGAUUGUCAAGAAGCUCCAGCAAGGAGCCUGUGCGAAAGAGCUCCCCAGGGUUUUGUCACGAUGUCUGCGUGUACGCAUUGGUAUCUUUCCCUCUGGAUUGCCAUCGUGCUGGCCCUGCUCAGGUCCUUCUAACCGCGCAUAUAUUUGCUCUGAUUGUAGUGGUUUGAGCACCUGUCCCACCUUCUCUGCUGGCGAGGCCCCAGGCUCCUGACAGAGGGGACAGCUGCUCUUCUCUGCUCCUCCUCCUCAUUCAGCACGCACCACAUGUGUAUGCUUCCUAAACAGUCGGGUUAAAGAGUUGGUCCUGGUUCAAGGAGCAAUGCAGAAUUCUCUCCUUGUCCUAGAUGUGCCCGUUGCAAUGUUCAUCUCGUCUCUGUGGUUCAGUGUGAGCAUGUUGAUUCUGACCUGAGUCUCUCUUCUGCCUGGUUCCCAUCUCUGGAUUCGUCCGUCGUCUGGUCUCUGCUUUUAGUUUGAGCUAUUCUGGCUGCUGGCUCUCACUCCCAGACAUGCUCGUACCUGCAAGUUCCGUGCCCCGUGCUUUCUCUGCUGGGGUGCCCUGGCUGCAGGCUUUCUGUACUCGCCAGUUCUGAAUCCUGAAUUCCUGCCCCCACAUCCCCUUGGCAGCCAGGCUUCUGGUUGGGCCAUCUUUCUGGAUGCUGCCUCCAGGAGCUUAGCUAUCUGUCUCCGUGUUCAUCUCCUGUGUGUGUUCAUGUGAACAUUUCGGGGUAGCAAUAUAUAUCAACACUUUUUCUCAAAAGUUGUUAAAUUUUGAAGCAGACAGAAAAGAAGAGAACGGCUUAAUGAAUAUCUGCCUCCAGUCUUACGAAUCUCAGCGUGAUGCGAUGCUCACUUGGAACUGUUGUUAUUAUACGAAACGUAACAGACCCAGCCGAGGCCCUGUCGGAUCCUUCUCGCGGCUUGCAUUUGACUUCUCCCCCCUCACGACAUUCCCAGAGUUUGCCGAGGUCGGGUACCACUUCACGCCAUCAGCAUGUCUGACGCUGCCCGGUCCUCCACGCUCUUCGCCAGGCUUGGGCCUGAGACUCGGAGGCAGACGCGAUGAGAAUGAACUUCUGCCUCGUCAUUUUGACUUGCGUUUUCCUCAUGACCAUUGUAGAUUUUCCUAUUUUGGACGUUUCAUAUAAAUGGAAUCAUACAACCUGUGGUCCCUUGUGACUGGCGUCUUUCACUGAGCAUGAUGUUUUCAAGGUCCAUCUGUGUGGUAGCGUGUGUCAGCGCUUCAUUCUUUUUAUGGCUGAAUAAUAUUCCAUUGCAUGGGUGUGCCACAUUUUGUUUAUCCAUUCAUCAGGUAACAGACAUUUAGGUUGUUUCUAGUUUUUGGUUAUAACGAAUAAUGUUUCUAUGAAGAUUUGUGUAAAAGUUUUUGAAUGGAUAUAUGUUUUUAUUUCUCUUGGAUAUACACCUAGGAGUGGAAUGGCUGGGUCAUACGGUAACUCUAUAUUUCAUUUUUAUCUUUUGCAUACUUUUCUUUUAGUUGUGUGCCCGCUUUUUUUGCUCUUUCUGGAAUUCUUGCAGUUUCUGGAUAACAGUCUGUCUACACUCUCUGCUGCAAGUCUCUUCUAGGCUGUGGUCUUGUUUACCUUUCUCUUUUCCGUGGGAUAGAAAAUUUAAAUGUAUCAUUCAUUUCCUGUAUGGUUUCUGCUUUUUUGUGUCUUGUCUAA
ensembl:lncRNA